rnacentral:rRNA from 1 species
UACGUAGGGGGCAAGCGUUAUCCGGAUUUACUGGGUGUAAAGGGAGCGUAGACGGUAGUGCAAGUCUGAUGUGAAAACCCGGGGCUCAACUCCGGGAUUGCAUUGGAAACUGUAUAACUAGAGUGCAGGAGAGGUAAGUGGAAUUCCUAGUGUAGCGGUGAAAUGCGUAGAUAUUAGGAGGAACACCGGCGGCGAAGGCGGCUUACUGGGCUGUAACUGACGUUGAGGCUCGAAAGCGUGGGGAG